GUAGUUAGCCGGGGCUUCCUCCUUGGCUACCGUCAUUUGUUUCGUCACCAAGGACAGAGGUUUACAACCCGAAAGCCUUCUUCCCUCACGCGGCGUUGCUGGGUCAGGCUUGCGCCCAUUGCCCAAUAUUCCCCACUGCUGCCUCCCGUAGGAGUCUGGACCGUGUCUCAGUUCCAGUGUGGCCGAUCAGCCUCUCAGCUCGGCUACCCAUCGUCGGCUUGGUGGGCUGUUAUCUCACCAACUACCUAAUGGGACGCGAACCCCUCCUAGAGCGAUAAAUCUUUGACCCCUUCCCGAUGUCGGGCCGUGGUCUCAUGCGGUAUUAGCACUUGUUUCCAGGUGUUAUCCCCCACUCCAGGGCAGGUUGUUCACGCGUUACUCACCCGUUCGCCACUAAAAUUAACAUCUUCCAUCCGAAAACUUCCAACGUUAAUCUCCGUUCGACUUGCAUGUGUUAGGCACGCCGCCAGCGUUCGUCCUGAGCCAUGAUCAAACUACUGA
rnacentral:rRNA from 1 species